rnacentral:rRNA from 1 species
UGGGCCCAGAUCGUUUACCGUGAAAAAAUUAGAGUGUUCAAAGCAGGCAGACCAUUCUUCUGCCACCGAAUACAUUAGCAUGGGAUAAUGGAAUAGGACCCUGUCCUCCUAUUUUGCGUGUUGGUUUUCGAGGACCGGGUAAUGAUUAAUAGGGAUAGUUGGGGGCAUUAAUAUUUAAUUGUCAGAGGUGAAAUUCUUGGAUUUAUGAAAGAUUGACUUCUGCGAAAGCAUCUGCCAAGGAUGUUUUCAUUAAUCAAGAACGAAAGUUAGGGGAUCGAAGACGAUCAGAUACCGUCGUAGUCUUAACCAUAAACGAUGCCGACCAGCGAUUAGGAGACGUUGAAUACAAAACACCACCGUCGGGUCGGCCGUCCUUGGCCGUCGUGCGCGGCGAUCUGCGCCGGAUAUGUGUCCGUUGGCCCGGAUUCCUUCCCUAGCAG